CACGUAGGGUGCGAGCGUUGUCCGGAAUUAUUGGGCGUAAAGAGCUCGUAGGCGGUGUGUCGCGUCGGCCGUGAAAACCUGCAGCUUAACUGUGGGCUUGCAGCUGAUACGGGCAGGCUUGAGUUCGGUAGGGGAGACUGGAAUUCCUGGUGUAGCGGUGAAAUGCGCAGAUAUCAGGAGGAACACCGGUGGCGAAGGCGGGUCUCUGGGCCGAUACUGACGCUGAGGAGCGAAAGCGUGGGGAGCGAACAGG
rnacentral:rRNA from 1 species